rnacentral:tRNA from 1 species
GGGUGUAUAGCUCAGCUGGGAGAGCGCAUCGCUGGCAGCGAUGAGGUCAGGGGUUCGAUCCACCUAGGCUCCACCA